rnacentral:siRNA from 1 species
GUUGACUCUGGUGAUCGGAU